rnacentral:rRNA from 1 species
AUUGAACGCUGGCGGCAGGCCUAACACAUGCAAGUCGAGCGAGCGGCGGACGGGUGAGUAAUGUAUGGGGACUGCCCGAUAGAGGGGGAUAACUACUGGAAACGGUAGCUAAUACCGCAUACUAUCGGAUAACCCAUAUGAGAUUAGCUAGUAGGUGAGGUAAUGGCUCACCUAGGCGACGAUCCCUAGCUGGUCUGAGAGGAUGAUCAGGGAGACUGUGACUGAGACACGGCGCGGAGUCCCACGGAGGAAGCAGGGGGGAAUAUUGCGAAAUGGGCGCAAGCCUGAUGGAGCGAUGCCGCGAGGAUGAAGAAGGCACUAGGGUUGUAAAGUACUUUCAGUCGGGAGGCGUUACCGACAGAAGAAGCACCGGCUAACUCCGUGCCAGCAGCCGCGGUAAUUC